UACGGGGGGGGCAAGCGUUGUUCGGAAUUACUGGGCGUAAAGGGCUCGUAGGUGGCCAACUAAGUCGGACGUGAAAUCCCUCAGCUUAACUGGGGAACUGCGUCCGAUACUGGAUGGCUUGAGUUUGGGAGAGGGAUGCGGAAUUCCAGGUGUAGCGGUGAAAUGCGUAGAUAUCUGGAGGAACACCGGUGGCGAAGGCGGCAUCCUGGACCAACACUGACACUGAGGAGCGAAAGCUAGGGGAGCGAACAGG
rnacentral:rRNA from 1 species